rnacentral:rRNA from 1 species
AUGGACCGCUUCCAGGACGGGCACCACGUGCGGCUGCGGAGCCGCGUGCAGCGCACCUACCUCCACGCCGCCGACGACGGGGAGAGCGUCACCCUCAGCCAGCUCCGCGCCUCCAUGAACGCGGCGUGGGUGGUGCACAUCUACAACGGAGGAGACGGCGAUGGCUCCGGCGAAAUAUCCGGCUUCGUCUCCCGCGCCGGCUCCGGCGUCGUCUCCCGCGACGGCUCCAGAGACGGAGACGGCGACGGCGGAGACGACGAUAGCUCCGAAGACGGAGACGGCCCGUACCUGCUCCUCCACAGCGCCGCCUACGGCCGCUACCUCGCCGCCACGGACAGGCCGGCGCGGCACGGCCACAACGGCCUCUGCACGGAGCUGCGCGACUACGAUCAGCCGGAGGUGGAGGCCAUCAAGUGGCGGGCCGUCGAGUCGGGCUUCGCGGACGACGUCGUCCUGCUCCGCCACGGCGACGGCCACUACCUCCGCGCCAACGGCAAGUACCUCCCCUGGAACUCCACCGGCGUCACCGUCGACGACAACGCCAGCUCCAUGAUGUACUGGAUCAUCGAGCCCAUCCCCUUGAGAGAGGCGGGCAUGCCUGCCAUUCCUGGCCCGCUUCCGACUCGCCCAAGAUUCACGCCCCGGGGGGCGGAACGGCAGAUCAGAGGCGUCGAGCCCAUCCCAGAAGAGGCGGGCAUGCCUGCCAAUCAUGGCCCGGCUCACCCAAGAUUCUCCGGCAUAUUCACUUCUCCCGGACGGCGCAUCCGGUUCGUGCGGGCGCUCGAGGACGGGUACUACCCCGAGGAGGUCAACACCUGGCGCCAGUUCUGGUUCAGGGGGAGGUCCGCGUUCAGCCUGAGAGGCAACCUGGCGGACCUCGUCGUCGUGGACGGCCCGAACAUCGCCAUGUGCGUCCGAGCGGGCCGCUACGGGAGGCUGACCCCGCUCGUCGUCGACCUGCCCGACGGUGGCUAUGGCGGGACCCUCGAGAUCGUCGUCUUCCUGACCGGGACCCUUGGCUACGAUGCGCUGCGAUACCCGGAUGUCGAUGCACAGUAG